GUCAGUAACUCAACCCUAAAGGGAUUGAGCUUGUAAGAGAAAUCAAACAAGCUGUACUGACCAGACCACCCUGAGCGUAGUCGAAGGGUAGCCGUUAUUUGAGUCACGACACCUCGGAAUGCGUUCGCGCCAGCGUGCCGUCAGGCAUAGCUAGUUCCCCGCUCUGUCGCUGUAAGUUAAACAGUUCUAAAGUCACUGGAACAGUGCUUUCAGCCUAACAAGCUCUUAUAACAGGUCGAAGCUAACAUCACCCCAGAAAUGGG
rnacentral:sRNA from 1 species